AUGCACGCUGGCGGCGUGCCUCAUACAUGCAAGUCGCGCGAACAGACGAGGAGCUUGCUCCUCUGACGUUAGCGGCGGACGGGUGAGUAACACGUGGAUAACCUACCUAUAAGACUGGGAUAACUUCGGGAAACCGGAGCUAAUACCGGAUAAUAUAUUGAACCGCAUGGUUCAAUAGUGAAAGACGGUUUUGCUGUCACUUAUAGAUGGAUCCGCGCCGCAUUAGCUAGUUGGUAAGGUAACGGCUUACCAAGGCAACGAUGCGUAGCCGACCUGAGAGGGUGAUCGGCCACACUGGAACUGAGACACGGUCCAGACUCCUACGGGAGGCAGCAGUAGGGAAUCUUCCGCAAUGGGCGAAAGCCUGACGGAGCAACGCCGCGUGAGUGAUGAAGGUCUUCGGAUCGUAAUACUCUGUUAUUAGGGAAGAACAAAUGUGUAAGUAACUAUGCACGUCUUGACGGUACCUAAUCAGAAAGCCACGGCUAACUACGUG
rnacentral:rRNA from 1 species